rnacentral:rRNA from 1 species
UACGUAGGGUGCAAGCGUUGUCCGGAAUUAUUGGGCGUAAAGAGCUCGUAGGCGGUUCGUCACGUCGGCUGUGAAAUCCCGAGGCUCAACCUCGGGUCUGCAGUCGAUACGGGCGGACUGGAGUACUGCAGGGGAGACUGGAAUUCCUGGUGUAGCGGUGAAAUGCGCAGAUAUCAGGAGGAACACCGGUGGCGAAGGCGGGUCUCUGGGCAGUAACUGACGUGGAGGAGCGAAAGCGUGGGGAGCGAACAGG